AGAUGCGAGGGCAAACUGGCUGGGACAUAUGUCACACCAUUGAUCACCAGGGUUGAUUUUACUGAACUGGCGAGCUAGGCAGAAAUCACCUUCCUCCCUCAAUGCUCCAUGUGUGUCCCAUCCUGAAGUUUCGUACUCUGUGGAAGAGUAUGACCUUUCCCCAUUAGAGACAGACCAGAUAUUCUGUCCUGGGUAUAAGAGUAGCUGUGCUCCCCUGCUAAAACCUCCAAAUAAGCUCUCAAGGUCCAUAUUGUUGAUGAAGUAUGCUGAUAAGUGUUGUGAAUGUUUCCAUAAUUAAACCCUAAAACAUAUUCUUGCUCUU
rnacentral:snRNA from 1 species